rnacentral:ncRNA from 1 species
AUACCUCGCCGUCGGGGUAGAAACGAUGCCCCGACGAGUAGGCAGGCGUGGAGGUCCGUGACGAAGCCUUGGGAGUGAUCCCGGGUCGAACGGCCUCUAGUGCAGAUCUUGGUGGUAGUAGCAAAUACUCAAAUGAGAACUUUGAGGACUGAAGUGGGGAAAGGUUCCAUGUGAACAGCAGUUGGACAUGGGUUAGUCGAUCCUAAGGUAUAGGGAAGUUCCGUUUGAAAGGCGCCCUCGUGCGCCGUGUACCGAAAGGGAAGCCGGUUAAUAUUCCGGCACCUGGAUGUGGAUUCUCCACGGCAACGUAACUGAACGCGGAGACAUCGGCGGGGGUCCUGGGAAGAGUUCUCUUUUCUUCUUGACAGCCUAUCACCCUGAAAUCGGUUUGUCCGGAGCUAGGGUUCCACGGCUGGCAGAGCCCUGCACCUUUGCAGGGUCCGGUGCGCCCCCGACGAUCCUUGAAAAUCCGCGGGAAGGAAUAGUUUUCACGCCAGGUCGUACUCAUAACCGCAGCAGGUCUCCAAGGUGAACAGCCUCUAGUUGAUAGAACAAUGUAGAUAAGGGAAGUCGGCAAAAUGGAUCCGUAACUUCGGGAUAAGGAUUGGCUCUAAGGGUCGGGCUCGCUGGGCCUUGGGGGAAACCUCUCGGAGCAGGGGGGCACUAGCCGGGCAACCGGCCGGCGCCCCCCAGCACCGGGAUGGGGACGCCCUUGGCAGGCUUCGGCCGUCCGGCGGGCGCUUACGACCAACUUAGAACUGGUACGGACAGGGGAAUCUGACUGUCUAAUUAAACAUAGCAUUGCGAUGGCCAGAAAGUGGUGUUGACGCAUGUGAUU